rnacentral:rRNA from 1 species
AGUGAACGCUGGCGGUAGGCCUAACACAUGCCAGUCGAACGGCAGCACAGUAAGAGCUUGCUCUUACGGGUGGCGAGUGGCGGACGGGUGAGGAAUACAUCGGAAUCUACUUUUUCGUGGGGGAUAACGUAGGGAAACUUACGCUAAUACCGCAUACGACCUACGGGUGAAAGCAGGGGAUCUUCGGACCUUGCGCGAUUGAAUGAGCCGAUGUCGGAUUAGCUAGUUGGCGGGGUAAAGGCCCACCAAGGCGACGAUCCGUAGCUGGUCUGAGAGGAUGAUCCGCCACACUGGAACCGAGACACGGUCCAGACUCCUACGGGAGGCAGCAGUGGGGAAUAUUGGACAAUGGGCGCAAGCCUGAUCCAGCCAUACCGCGUGGGUGAAGAAGGCCUUCGGGUUGUAAAGCCCUUUUGUUGGGAAAGAAAAGCAGCAGGUUAAUACCCCGCUGUUCUGACGGUACCCAAAGAAUAAGCACCGGCUAACUUCGUG